AAGAACUCAGGAAGCCUGGGGACUGUUUUGGCCCAAACACCCUUGGGAGAAAGCAGGAAGACUGGCAGAAGCGAUGUGGUGUUGUGAUAAGAAUCUCCAUCAGAUGCGGCGUGUGUCUUUGAAGAUGACACGGUUAUAAACACUGAGAUGGCAUGUCCCUUUGGCUCGACCUCUGUGUGGAUAUUUCAGUAAAAUGCCACAGAUGAACCAGUCUUGUCUCCAGAAUAGUUUGCACAAUGGUGGACCCCUAUCAGCCCUCUGCAGACCUGCCUACUCGGACCCUCACUCUUCCUGCCAGGCCCGGGCCCUGACAUUUUGAUUGAGCACACAAGGUCGAUGGCGGUAACAAGCCACAGCUGAGAUGUCGCUGCUGAUUUGGGCUUCGUCUGGCACCCUGUGACUUUCAGCUGGGGCAUUUUUAUCCCCGUCAUUAUUCUGUCCGUUGGCUGGGACGCUUACCUUUCAGGCAAUGCUGUGCUGGAAGUAAAUGCCGAUUAGCGCUGUUGUAACGAGCAAGAAUGUGACAGCGAUGUUCUGGCAGGUGUGAGCUGAGCCUGCA